AGGCAAUAACAGGUCAGUGAUGCCCUUAUAUGUCCUGGGCUGCACGCGUGCUACACUGAUGCAUACAACAAGUGCCUAACCAGACAUGGUAUGGCAAUCUCGAAUAUGCAUCGUGAUGGGGAUAGAUCUUUGCAAUUAUAGAUCUUGAACGAGGAAUUCCUAGUAAGUGCAAGUCAUCAUCUUGCAUUGAUUAUGUCCCUGCCCUUUGUACACACCGCCCGUCACUCCUACCGAUACCGGGUGAUCCGGUGAACCUUUUGGACUCUUUAUGGGAAAGAUAAGUAAACCAGUAU
rnacentral:rRNA from 1 species